GUGAAUUUAAUUCGUUCUCCGGCCAGAAGAACCCAGAGCGGGUGGAGGAAAUGCCUUCCUCCCCGACAGUUUGGCGACUUGGAUGGGAUAAAAUUUUACUGGCUUGACACUGCUCACUCCUGGACUGCUGCAGCCGAGAGGUCCUGGACCCCUGACAAGAGCCAGCAAGAGACAUUUAGGCACCUCUCACCAAGACUCACUCAGGAGAAAAGAGUCAUUCUGAUCCCUCUCCGCACCUCCAGGCACCUACACAGAUCAGGGAAGCUGAGACUCACCCUCUGUGGGAAGAACUCGUCCUUGCUGUCCCAGUGCUCCUGUCACCCUCUUCUGAAUACCAAGUUAGGCAUAAUUAGCUGGCAGUUGCCAGCAAGAUCCUAGCAAUUAUCAGACAGGCUGCUACCUUCUCACUCUGUAAUAGGCACACUGUGGUUAUCCAUUAAGCAAAGAGGGUUCUUGAAUCUCAAAAGAAUCGCUUCUUCCUGAAUUGAGACUCAGGAAGUAAUCAAGGAAACUUAAGUCCCCAGACUACCUAUGUGCAUGAUUUUUUUAUUGGGUAUUAUUUUUAUUGACUGUAAAGUAAU
rnacentral:lncRNA from 1 species